AAGUCGUAACAAGGUUUCCGUAGGUGAACCUGCGGAAGGAUCAUCCAUGAGUGGCUUUCGCGGCCCUUUUUUAUUUUCAUUCCUGUGAAUCGUCGAAUCUUUAAACAACGUCAAGCGAUUGUAUACACGCUGCGUAAUGCAGUGCACAAACACACAACUUUUAGCAACGGAUCUCUUGGCUCUC
rnacentral:misc_RNA from 1 species